rnacentral:rRNA from 1 species
AUUGAACGCUGGCGGCAGGCCUAACACAUGCAAGUCGAACGAGUGGCGGACGGGUGAGUAAUGUCUGGGAAACUGCCCGAUGGAGGGGGAUAACUACUGGAAACGGUAGCUAAUACCGCAUACCAUCGGAUGUGCCCAGAUGGGAUUAGCUUGUAGGUGCGGUAACGGCUCACCUAGGCGACGAUCCCUAGCUGGCCUGAGAGGAUGACCAGCAAAACUGGAAAUGAGACAAGGUCCAUAGUCCGACGGUAGGCAGCAGUGGGGAUUAGUGCACAAUGGGAGCAAGCCUGAUGGAGCCAUGCGGAGUGUAUGAAGAAGGCCUUCUGGUUGUAAAGUACUUUCAGUGGGUAGGCGUUACCCGCAGAAGAAUCACCGGCUAACUCCGUGCCAGACGCCGCGUUAAGUC